rnacentral:rRNA from 1 species
GGGGAAUAUUGGACAAUGGGGGCAACCCUGAUCCAGCAAUGCCGCGUGUGUGAAGAAGGUCUUCGGAUUGUAAAGCACUUUCGACGGGGACGAUGAUGACGGUACCCGUAGAAGAAGCCCCGGCUAACUUCGUGCCAGCAGCCGCGGUAAUACGAAGGGGGCUAGCGUUGCUCGGAAUGACUGGGCGUAAAGGGCGUGUAGGCGGUUUACACAGUCAGAUGUGAAAUCCCCGGGCUUAACCUGGGAGCUGCAUUUGAUACGUGUAGACUAGAGUGUGAGAGAGGGUUGUGGAAUUCCCAGUGUAGAGGUGAAAUUCGUAGAUAUUGGGAAGAACACCGGUGGCGAAGGCGGCAACCUGGCUCAUGACUGACGCUGAGGCGCGAAAGCGUGGGGAGCAAACAGGAUUAGAUACCCUGGUAGUCCACGCUGUAAACGAUGUGUGCUAGAUGUUGGGUAACUUUGUUAUUCAGUGUCGCAGUUAACGCG